rnacentral:rRNA from 1 species
UACGUAGGGUGCAAGCGUUGUCCGGAAUUAUUGGGCGUAAAGAGCUCGUAGGCGGUUUGUCGCGUCUGCUGUGAAAACUCAGGGCUUAACUCUGAGCUUGCAGUGGGUACGGGCAGACUAGAGUGCGGUAGGGGAGGACUGGAAUUCCUGGUGUAGCGGUGAAAUGCGCAGAUAUCAGGAGGAACACCGGUGGCGAAGGCGGGUCUCUGGGCCGAUACUGACGCUGGAGGAGCGAAAAGCGUGGGGAGCGAACAGG